CAGCAGCCACGGUAAUACGGAGGGGGCUAGCGUUGUUCGGAAUUACUGGGCGUAAAGCGCACGUAGGCGGCUUGGUAAGUUAGAGGUGAAAGCCUGGAGCUCAACUCCAGAAUUGCCUUUAAGACUGCCGAGCUAGCAGGUGAGAGAGGUAAGUGGAAUUCCGAGUGUAGAGGUGAAAUUCGUAGAUAUUCGGAAGAACACCAGUGGCGAAGGCGGCUUACUGGCUCAUACUGGACGCUGAGGUGCGAAAGCGUGUGGAGCAAACAGGAUUAGAUACCCGUGUAGUCCCUGUCUCUAUACA
rnacentral:rRNA from 1 species